AUUGAACGCUGGCGGCAGGCUUAACACAUGCAAGUCGAGCGGAGAUGAGGUGCUUGCACCUUAUCUUAGCGGCGGACGGGUGAGUAAUGCUUAGGAAUCUGCCUAUUAGUGGGGGACAACAUUCCGAAAGGAAUGCUAAUACCGCAUACGCCCUACGGGGGAAAGCAGGGGAUCUUCGGACCUUGCGCUAAUAGAUGAGCCUAAGUCGGAUUAGCUAGUUGGUGGGGUAAAGGCCUACCAAGGCGACGAUCUGUAGCGGGUCUGAGAGGAUGAUCCGCCACACUGGGACUGAGACACGGCCCAGACUCCUACGGGAGGCAGCAGUGGGGAAUAUUGGACAAUGGGCGGAAGCCUGAUCCAGCCAUGCCGCGUGUGUGAAGAAGGCCUUUUGGUUGUAAAGCACUUUAAGCGAGGAGGAGGCUACCUGGAUUAAUACUACCGGAUAGUGGACGUUACUCGCAGAAUAAGCACCGGCUAACUCUGUGCCAGCCGCCGCAGUAAAAC
rnacentral:rRNA from 1 species